rnacentral:rRNA from 1 species
UACGGGGGGAGCAAGCGUUGUUCGGAUUUACUGGGCGUAAAGGGCGCGUAGGCGGCGCACCAAGUCACUUGUGAAAUCUCCGGGCUUAACCCGGAGCGGUCAAGUGAUACUGUCGUGCUAGAGUGCGGAAGGGGCUACUGGAAUUCUCGGUGUAGCGGUGAAAUGCGUAGAUAUCGAGAGGAACACCUGCGGCGAAGGCGGGUAGCUGGGCCGACACUGACGCUGAUGCGCGAAAGCCAGGGGAGCGAACGGG